rnacentral:tRNA from 1 species
GGGUCGGUGGCAGAGUGGUCAAUUGCACCAGACUGUAAAUCUGGCGGGUUAGCUCCCUACGGAGGUUCAAAUCCUCCCCGGCCCA